rnacentral:rRNA from 1 species
GCUUGUCUCAAAGAUUAAGCCAUGCAUGUCUAAGUAUAAACAAAUCUAUACGUGAAACUGCGAAUGGCUCAUUAUAUCAGUUAUAGUUUAUUUGAUGGUUCUUGCUACUUGGAUAACCGUAGUAAUUCUAGAGCUAAUACAUGCGUCAAACCUCGACUUCUGGGAGAGGUGUAUUUAUUAGAUGGAAACCAAUGCGGGGCAACCCGGUAUAUGGUGAUUCAUAAUAACUUUCGGAUCGAUCUUCGGAUCGAUGCAUCAUUCAAGUUUCUGCCCUAUCAAUUGGCGAUGGUAGGAUAGAGGCCUACCAUGGUGUUAACGGGUGACGGGGGAUUAGGGUUCGAUUCCGGAGAGGCAGCCUGAGAAACGGCUACCACAUCCAAGGAAGGCAGCAGG